rnacentral:rRNA from 1 species
GUGGAUUAGAUACCCGGGUAGUCCACGCCCUAAACGAUGCAUAUUUGGUGUGGGCCAUUCAUUUGGUCUGUGCCGGAGCUAACGCGUUAAAUAUGCCGCCUGGGGAGUACAGUCGCAAGGCUGAAACUCAAAGGAAUUGACGGGGGCCCGCACAAGCGGUGGAGCAUGUGGUUUAAUUCGACGCAACGCGAAGAACCUUACCUGGGCUCGAAAUGCUAUGGACCAGCUGGUGAAAGCCGGCCUUCCCGCAAGGGACCGUAGUAUAGGUGCUGCACGGCCGUCGCCAGCU